CUGGCGGUAGGCUUAACACAUGCAAGUCGUGCGAGAAAGUAUCUUCGGAUAUGAGUAGAGCGGCGGACGGGUGAGUAACGCGUAGGAAUCUACCUAGUAGAAGGGGAUAGCCCGGGGAAACUCGGAUUAAUACCGUAUACCUCCUUUGGGAGAAAGAGGGCCUCUCUUGAUGCUCUCGCUACUAGAUGAGCCUGCGUAAGAUUAGCUUGUUGGUAAGGUAAUGGCUUACCAAGGCGACGAUCUUUAGCUGGUCUGAGAGGACGAUCAGCCACAUUGGGACUGAGACACGGCCCAGACUCCUACGGGAGGCAGCAGUGGGGAAUAUUGGACAAUGGGCGCAAGCCUGAUCCAGCCAUACCGCGUGUGUGAAGAAGGCCUUCGGGUUGUAAAGCACUUUAAGCAGGGAGAAAAAGCUAUAAGUUAAUACCUUUUAGCCGUGAUGUUACCUGCAGAAUAAGCACCGGCUAAUUCCGUGCCAGCAGCCGCGGUAAUACGGAAGGUGCAAGCGUUAAUCGGAAUUACUGGGCGUAAAGCGCGCGUAGGUGGUUUGUUAAGUUGGAUGUGAAAGCCCUGGGCUCAACCUAGGAACUGCAUCCAAAACUAACUCACUAGAGUACGAUAGAGGGAGGUAGAAUUCAUAGUGUAGCGGUGGAAUGCGUAGAUAUUAUGAAGAAUACCAGUGGCGAAGGCGGCCUCCUGGAUCUGUACUGACACUGAGGUGCGAAAGCGUGGGUAGCGAACAGGAUUAGAUACCCUGGUAGUCCACGCCGUAAACGAUGACAACUAGCUGUUGGGAGACAAUGUCUUUCAGUGGCGCAGCUAACGUUUUAAGUUGUCCGCCUGGGGA
rnacentral:rRNA from 1 species